rnacentral:lncRNA from 1 species
GCUUCAAAUCCUCUUCAAAACUCAUCGACUUUCAGCCUCAUCUUCUCCCUCAUACAUUGAGCGAGAGACACCAUUCAAACUUUAAAACGGUCUCAAGACCUUGAACUAUUGGCGAUGUAUUCAGUUUUUAAAACUUUAGUACGGUUUUGAAAAUAUCGCAGUUUUAGUUUUAAGGAUUUUGAGCCCGUCUUCUGAUUUUAUAAUGGGUGUGUAUUGCGUCGAUUAGAGUGGGUGACAUCAUCGCUAGAGUGGGGAGCCUUUCGAAGAAUGGGAGCCAAAACUGUCUUCAGCUUGAUUUUGAUCCCACACCUUUGUUUGAUUUUGAAGCCCGGGAGCGACACAAACCCAAAACCUUGGUCCAUAAGCCACAAUGUUAAUUUUGAGCCCAGAUUUCUGGCCGAGAGCAGACGGUACCUGAUUUGUCUCUCGCUGAUGUGCCCUCAUUUCUCACUCUACUGAAAUGAAAAUAACAUCAAUGUGUUCAGCAAGGUCUCCUGUCACUCAACAUACACAUUAUAUGGCGAUUACCACUCUUAGUCUGCAUCUUUCUACCUUUUCAUCCUUGUUUCACCUAUUUGAGCUUUUUCACCCUUUGACUUUUUUACAUUUUCAUACUUUUUCAACUCUUUAACCUCUUCCAGCCCUCUUACUCUACAGCUUUUCAUAUGUUUGUUCACCUAUUUAACCUCCUCCAGCCCUCUUACUCUACUGCUUAUCAUCCUUUUAUAGCCUUUUUUGAACAUUUUAACCUCUUCCAGCCCUCUUUCUCUACAGCUUUUCACGUUUUCACCUUUUUAACCAGCCCACUUGAUCUACAACUGUUCAUAUUUCUUCACCUUUUUAACCUGUUCCAGCCCUCUUACUCUACAUCUUUUUACCUUUUCUCACCUAUUUGAGCUUUUUCACCCUUAAACUUUUUUACCUUUUCAUCCCUUUUUCAACUCUUUAACCUCUUCCAGCCCUCUUACUCUACAGCUGUUCAUAUGUUUUCACAUUUUUAACCUCUUCCAGCCCUUACUCUACUGCUUGUCAUCCUUUUUA